GACGAACGCUGGCGGCGUGCCUAAUACAUGCAAGUCGAACGAAGCUGUUUUAACUGGUGCUUGCACCGACUUAAACAACUGAGUGGCGAACGGGUGAGUAACACGUGGGUAACCUGCCCCAAAGCGGGGGAUAACAUUUGGAAACAGAUGCUAAUACCGCAUAACCACAGAAACCACAUGGUUUCUGUGUCAAAGAUGGUUUCGGCUAUCACUUUGGGAUGGACCCGCGGCGUAUUAGCUAGUUGGUAAGGUAAUGGCUUACCAAGGCAAUGAUACGUAGCCGAACUGAGAGGUUGAUCGGCCACAUUGGGACUGAGACACGGCCCAAACUCCUACGGGAGGCAGCAGUAGGGAAUCUUCCACAAUGGACGAAAGUCUGAUGGAGCAACGCCGCGUGAGUGAAGAAGGUUUUCGGAUCGUAAAACUCUGUUGUCAGAGAAGAACGUGUGCGAGAGUAACUGUUCGUGCAGUGACGGUAUCUGGCCAGAAAGCCACGGCUAACUAC
rnacentral:rRNA from 1 species